UGAAAUGGAUCUGAAUUCAUGUGAAUGAGAUGGGAAAAUCGUGAUUUGCAAUUUGUGUGAGAACAAGGGUGAAAAGUGUGACUUGGGCACAAAACCUGGUCAUUUUACACUCCAUCCUACGCGUUUUGUCAAGAAAAACAAGUUUAAACAUGUGUGGUGGUCCCAUAUUGAAGAAUGACUUGUAAUUGCAAAAUUUGGGUUCGUUCAAAAUAGAGUUCAUGACACCAUGUUUAAUCUUAGGCCAAAGGAAAU
rnacentral:lncRNA from 1 species